AGUGAACGCUGGCGGUAGGCCUAACACAUGCAAGUCGAACGGCAGCACAGUAAGAGCUUGCUCUUACGGGUGGCGAGUGGCGGACGGGUGAGGAAUACAUCGGAAUCUACUUUUUCUUGGGGGAUAACGUAGGGAAACUUACGCUAAUACCGCAUACGACCUACGGGUGAAAGCAGUGGAUCUUCGGACCUUUCGCGUUUGUAUGAGCCGAGGUCGGAUUAGCUAGUUGGCGGGGUAAAGUCCCACCAAGGCGACGAUCCGUAGCUGGUCUGAGAGGAUGAUCAGCCACACUGGAAGUGAGACACGGUCCAGACUCCUACGGGAGGCAGCAGUGGGGAAUAUUGGACAAUGGGCGAAAGCCUGAUCCAGCAAUACCGCGUGGGUGAAGAAGGCCUUCGGGUUGUAAAGCCCUUUUGUUGGGAAAGAAAAGCAGCAGGUUAAAACCCCGCUGUUCUGACGGUACCCAAAGAAUAAGCACCGGCUAACUUCGUG
rnacentral:rRNA from 1 species